rnacentral:rRNA from 1 species
GGGCGUAAAGAGCUUGUAGGCGGUUUGUCGCGUCUGCCGUGAAAGCCCAGGGCUUAACCCUGGGUCUGCGGUGGGUACGGGCAGGCUAGAGUGUGGUAGGGGAGACUGGAAUUCCUGGUGUAGCGGUGAAAUGCGCAGAUAUCAGGAGGAACACCGAUGGCGAAGGCAGGUCUCUGGGCCAUAACUGACGCUGAGAAGCGAAAGCAUGGGGAGCGAACAGGAUUAGAUACCCUGGUAGUCCAUGCCGUAAACGUUGGGCGCUAGGUGUGGGGCUCAUUCCACGAGUUCCGUGCCGCAGCUAACGCAUUAAGCGCCCCGCCUGGGGAGUACGGCCGCAAGGCUAAAACUCAAAGGAAUUGACGGGGGCCCGCACAAGCGGCGGAGCAUGCGGAUUAAUUCGAUGCAACGCGAAGAACCUUACCAAGGCUUGACAUACACCGGAAUGUGCCAGAGAUGGUGCAGCCUUUGGGCUGGUGUACAGGUGGUGCAUGGUUGUCGUCAGCUCGUGUCGUGAGAUGUUGGGUUAAGUCCCGCAACGAGCGCAACCCUCGUUCCAUGUUGCCAGCGGGUAAAGCCGGGGACUCAUGGGAGACUGCCGGGGUCAACUCGGAGGAAGGUAAU